AAAAUAGUCUCUAUUUCUUAUCAGGGACAAAAUGUACUUCCUUAUCAAACAGAGACCUAACCAAGGACACUCAUAAGGAUUCCAAGAGUCUCAAGGUUAGAGAAGUCGCCUAGUCCACCUCCCCUCUCUGCUUCUCACAGAAGGGUCUGCUGAACACUCUGGUGACAGAGAACUCACCCAACAUGUUCCAUGGCAGAGGCUUUUCAUUAGAUCAAGGUGACAUCUGUUUUACUGGAGCUUCCAACCACGUGUCCCAAUACUGCCCUUAGUCACAGGCAUCCAGGUCCUCUCUCUCAGGACAGCACUUUGAAUAAAUGAGGACAGCUCCCAUCCCCCUUUCUCCCAGUUGACUUUCCAGAAACAUCUCAUAUUGUUGUUGGCUUUCCACCAUUUUUCCUCUUCACUUCCUGGGCCUACUACUACACUGUGUGUCCUCCACUUGGUCUCUUCCUGAAAGCAACACUGUGCACAAUGUUCCUGGGGGCAGACUUAUUAAACCAAGUGGACCACUUCCUUCAUCUUAGGUGUCACAGCUCCAUCAAUGCAUCCUCAAAUCACAAUGAUUUUUCUGCACUUCACCCUA
rnacentral:lncRNA from 10 species